rnacentral:rRNA from 1 species
CCUACGGGCGGCAGCAGUGGGGAAUAUUGCACAAUGGGGGGAACCCUGAUGCAGCGACGCCGCGUGAAGGAAGAAGUAUUUCGGUAUGUAAACUUCUAUCAGCAGGGAAGAAAAUGACGGUACCCGACUAAGAAGCCCCGGCUAACUACGUGCCAGCAGCCGCGGUAAUACGUAGGGGGCAAGCGUUAUCCGGAUUUACUGGGUGUAAAGGGAGCGUAGACGGCGAUGCAAGCCAGAUGUGAAAGCCCGGGGCUCAACCCCGGGACUGCAUUUGGAACUGUGUGGCUGGAGUGUCGGAGAGGCAGGCGGAAUUCCUAGUGUAGCGGUGAAAUGCGUAGAUAUUAGGAGGAACACCAGUGGCGAAGGCGGCCUGCUGGACGAUGACUGACGUUGAGGCUCGAAAGCGUGGGGAGCAAACAGGAUUAGAUACCCUGGUAGUC